UGGAGGGUGGGAUGUGGCAGGGAGGAAGGCAGAUGGCGUCCUGUUCAAAAGAGAGAAGGUUGUAACAAGGGGCUCUGGCUCUGUUGGCUGAUGUGUUGGUGAGGCUCAGUGCAGUGUCACCAACGCUUGUCUUCGAGACAUUUUGUGUGAAUUUGACUGCCACUGGGGUUUGCUGGGCAGCAGCAGGAAUUGGAUCUGGUGAGAAGCUCUGCUCUGCUGCAAUGGGGGCUUCAUGUGCUUUGUAUUUAGUGACAGGAUGAGAGGUGAUGGCUUCAAGUUGCACCAGAGGAUGGUCGGGUUGGAUAGUAGGAGCAAUUUAUGUUCAGAAGGAGUGGUGAUGUACUGGCUCUGCUACCCAGGGAGAGGCGGGGUAACCUUGUCUGGAGGUGUUCCAGAACUGCAGAGAUGUGGCACCGAGGGCCAUAGUUGGGGGUCUUGGACUGGGGUUGGAUUCGGUGAUCCCAGAGUUCUUUUCCAACCUCAGUGGUUCUAUGAUUCUGUUCUUUAUGCAGUUCCAAAUGAAAAUCGUUUCCCGUAAGAUUGCAGGAUUCCAGGGUUCAAGCCAUUCAAUCACAGGUGUCUUGAAUGGCUGAUGUCUCUGUGUGGGAGCAAGCUGCUUGUACUGAUGAGUCAGUUUCUGAUGGCCCUGACUAGAAGAAAUGAAGUCUUACGGGAGAUGGAAGAAUACUGGAAUGGAGGCAGGCAAUGGUAGACUGCUGAGAUGUGGACCCAUAACACCUCUUCACCUGCAGCAUCACAGUAAAAAUGAGUCUUUUGCUACCCUCAGGGAUGCUGUUGCCUGGAGGCACAGAGCUUGGAUACUGCCCACUGAUGUUCCCAGGCAUAUCUGUUGAAGUAUCUGUUGCUAUUUGACCGUGGAGAGUUUCAGGGGAGUGAGCAAACCUUUUUUUCCAAGCUGUUUGCAAGCCAAGAGCAUUCUGGAAAGAUUUGCCCAUUCCUGUCUCACUGUGCUGGCUUUGCAGAGGCCAUCUUGGUGUGUGGGAAUGAUCCCUUGGUACACACAGUGGAAAAGAAGCAGUUCUUCCUGUGAGUCUCCCUCUGCUUUCCUCUGCUGCUCAUUAUUUUUUGGAUGCUUGCAUAUCUUUCCAUCCGUCCAUCCUUUUGUCCAUCCAUCAGUCCAUCCACCAAUUCAUUAGUCCGUCCAUUCAUCCGUCUGCCAGUCCACUUGUCCAUCCAUCCAUUCAUCUGUCCAUCCAUCCACCUCUCCAUCCAUCUGUCUGUCCGUCCAUCUGUCCAACACCUGUCCAUUUGUCCGUCCAGCUGUCCCUCUGUCCAUCCAUCCAUCCCCACCCAUCCGUCCAUUCAUUCGUCUCUCCAUCCACAUAUCCAUCCUUUCAUCCCUUUGUCCAUCUGUCCGUCCAUCCGUCCAUCUAUCCAUCCAUCCGCACAGGCUGCCAGCGCUGGGAAGGGCUCCACGGGCCUGCCAAGGCCAGAUGGUGUUUGUGAGGAGCUCCAGGUCCCAGCUGAGCGCUGCCCGGCGAGAUGCACGCAGGAGCUGCCGGGCAGCCGGCUCUGCCAAACCCUCGGCAUAUGCUGCGCCCAGCCCUACACCUGCUGAUGGGCAGCCGCUGCGCGCUGCCGGCGUAAAGCAAGGAGGAAAAGCACAGCCCCAUCUGGAAGGAAUUUAACGGAUAAACAGCAGCGGUGAAACCCCCAAAAAUUAAAAAAAAAAAAAAGUGUAAAAUUGAAGAAUGUGCAGAGGGAGUCGGAAACGGCGGGGGGAGACGCCAAGAUGCUGGGCUGAGAUGGCCAAGGAAUGCCCACGUUUGCACCAGCACCCCAGUUUUCACCAGGACCCCCAUUUGCCCGUGCACAGCCCCACCACCCCAGCUAAAUGUGCUGAGAAUUGCUGGGGGAUAUUUGGAGAAAACCCCAAAUGACCGCGAGCAAAAUUGAUGGGGGAAUAGACUUCCUGCCUACUUUGUAUUUACUUUAAAACCGUGCGCACUCCAGGCUCGAGCCUGUAAUUUAUUGAAAGGAACCAGACUGGAAACCAGAUUCACACUGUGAGUAAUUUCUAACAUCAUUGCCAUCUAUCACCGGGAGACAGGGCACUUUGUUUCUCUGAAAAAUUAUUUUUGUAGUUGGCUUAGUAACAACAACAAUUAUUAUUAUUAAUAUUAAUAAUUACUUGUGUAAGGCCUUUCAUGUGCUGUUUAGAAAGGGUUCUGCACACGGGACAGUUGUGUUGGCUGCGCCUCUUGGGAAGGGAAACCAAGACACAGACUUGGCCCCUGCCUUGCUCAGGGGGGCAGAAUCCUUUUCUGCUACGUUCGCUGUGCUGGAUGGGUAAGACUUUUGUUCUGCCAGUCCUGGAGCUUUGUUCUUGCUGAGAGCAGAGGCACAUCAGCAGCUCCAGUGAUGAGCUGUGCCUCCUGGCAGGCCCAGAAGUGUGGUACAGCGUGAGUUUUCCCCUCUGCUGUUCUCCAGGCUGCAUCUCUACAGCACGUCCAACCCAGCGUUGGGAAGCCUCUUAGAGCCCAGCGUUGCCCUUCGCAGUGGGUAUCUCCCAGCAUCACCAUCGAUGUGCUGCUCUCCUUAACAAAGGGCCAACUCUAACGCAGCAUCUACAUCUGACCAGGCUUUGCUGUUGAGGUGGAGGAAGCUCAGAAACACUGAGCUUCUGCCAUUGCUCUUCUUCCUCCCUUCCCUCUUCUGAGCCCCUCUCCAGGCCCCAUCCACCUGCCAGCAUCCCUAGAGGCCAAGCUGAGCAUCACUCCAUGGACCUGACCCCACUGCCAGCCCGUGCUGCCAUUCAGACUGCUGAAGUCAAAUUAGGGUCAGAUUUUGGGUAGUUCUGUCUGGAGCCAGGAGUUGGGUUCAGUGCUGCUUAUGGAUUCCUUCCAACUCAGGAUAUUCUGUGAUUUAAUGAUUCAAGCUGUCCACACCAUGACAUUACAUAAAGGGCUCAGAGGAGGGCUAGGAUCCACAAGGCCAUGCAGAAGAUGGGAUCCUCUGUGGCUUUUCUUCCCAGGGAAGGCUUUCGGGAGAGUUCUGCACCCUCUGAAGUGGGGAACAGCACAAUCACCUCCUCAGAGAACUGCACAAGGAGCAACGGUCGUUUUCCAGUUAAGCUAUGGGCUGUGCUAAGGCAGACGGGGAAAGAGAUUCAGCGUUGACAGGGGUUGCUCCGAAUGUAACAGGAUCCCGCGGCAGAUGUAAAUCAGACUGCAGGCAUUUGCCUCGUGUUUCCGGAAGGAGGGACAGGCUGCGGUCACCUGAGGAAGCAGCAGGCAACCUCCGUGCAUUGGGGUGGCACAGCUCAGAUGGGUGAAAGCAAACGUGGGGAGCCUGGAGCAGGGAGCAGAGCCGGUGGGUGUCCUCGCGGAGCCGUGAGCGUCGGGGAGCAAAAGACAACACGAGAGCAGCCGCGAGGCUCGCAGCGCUGCCUGCCCGCUGUAAGGCCCGGCAC